UUUGUUUAUAAUAUGAAAUUGUUAAUUUUACUUUUUUUGUUUGAAAAUUAUGAAAUUUGAAUUAAUUUUCUAUUUGUAUAGAAAGGUCGUUGUUUUGUCCUUGUGUUGUGAGAGUUGUGAUCCACCCCUCCUGUAUUGUUUUGUUUUCAGAUUAUAGAAUGGAAUCUGAAACUGAAGAAUAUUAUCCUAACAAUGGAGGUUUUCAUACAGAGGGUGGAGUUGAGGGUAUGGAAGAGGGAGAUGAAGAGGAUGAAGAAGAUCUUGGUGAAGAGGUUCCACAGGAGACCCUGAAGCAGUGCUUGGACAAGUUCGGAUCUCCGGAUUUUAUCAUGGAACCGGAAAUUUUUUCACAGCUCAAGAAAUAUUUUCAGUCCGGGGGGAAUCCUGAACAGGUUAUUGACCUGUUGUCCAGCAAUUAUAUCGCCGUGGCCCAGAUGGCGAACUUGAUGGCGGAGUGGUUAAUCCUUGCCGGGGCAGAGAUACAGACGGUUCAGCAACUUGUGGAAAACCAUCUGCACGACAUGAUCUUAAAGACCUUUGAUCCGAAAAAGGCCGACGCCAUCUUUGCUGAGGAGGGUGAGACUCCGAGCUGGUUGGCCGAGCUCAUCGAGUACCCGACCUGGAGGUCGUUGAUUUACAGACUAGCUGAGGACUAUCCUGACUGCCUUAUGUUAAACUUCACGAUCAAACUGAUCUCUGAUGCAGGACAUCAGGCGGAGAUUACCAGUAUAUCAACAGCAGCUCAGCAGAUUGAAGUUUUCUCAAGAAUUUUGAAGACGAGUGUGUCGUCCUACCUUGGCUCUACCCCGGAGACGAUGCAGAGAAACCUGGAGGAGUGCGCAAACAUGGUUUGCCAUGGUCAGCACACAUACGUUUACGCGCAGGUUCUGUUCUCCGUGUUGGGUUCUGAGCAGCGUGGUGGUCACGUGAUCAGAAGAUUGCAACAGGAAGUUCAGAAACAAGCAAUAAAGGCUCACCAUGACGUGACACCGAUUACAAUGGCUUUAAUGGCUGGAUUCCAGCAUAGUAAAGCUGCACAUAUGUUAUCUAGUAUGCUUUCAAGGAACACUUUGAACCCUGCAGAUAUUGUACAGCUACAUAAACUGUACAGUUCCAGUGAUCCACCUCCAGUUGAACUAAUAAGGAUACCCCAGUUUCUGCAGCUGCUGAUAGAAGCGCUCUUUAGACCAGGGGCGAAAAUAAACCAGGAGCACAAGUCUAAAUACAUAUUCCUUUUGGCCUACGCUUCUAGUGUGUGUGAUACCUGGUCAAUGAAGAAAGGGAACAGGAAGACCCUCAACAAGGACGAGGUGAAAGGUACAAUGCAAGCACUGGAGAAAGUACACUCAAUCUGCUCAGCUAAUAAAGGAAAUGUUGAGCUGUUAGCUGAACUAAAUGCCCUGUAUCAGUGUAUCAAAUUCCCUGUUGUAUCCGUGGGAGUUAUUAGAUGGGUCGAAUGUAUCGUAUCAGCUUCUAACUACUUCUCUUUAAACAGUGACUACUGUCCCCUGCACCUGGCCCUGCUGGACGAGGUAGUAGCUAACCAUCCUCUCCUCCACUCUAAGGUUCUCACUCUCUUCACAACCCUGUUCGAGGGUUCAUACGGUGAGAUGGAAAUCCUUGCUGCUCUUGAAAUCAAGAAGAUGUUGGUGGAUAGGCUGGUCAAUCUACUAUCCAGGGGAUACGUUCUACCUGUAGUUAAAUACAUGGCACAGUGUUGGAGAAAUACAGAUACAGAUAUAUCAUUGAUUAGAUAUUUUGUGACGGAGGUUUUAGAGACAAUAGCUCCGCCCUACAGCUCUGAGUUUGUAGCCCUGUUCUUACCCCUGGUGGAGAACGAAGAGAUCACGGGAACAAUGAGGAUGGAUUCAGAUUCAGAUCCAGUCUCGGAGUUUAUUGUUCAUUGUAAAGCGAAUCAUGUCAACAAUUCUUUGCUAUAGUCCUAAACCGGGAACUAAGAGUUAUACAACGUUCCCCUCAGCUAUCAAGUAGGUUUGAAAAACAGAGACACCUCAGGUCAGGUGUCUCUGAUUUUGAAACCUACUUCAUAGCUGAGGUGAACUGUGAGUACAGAGUAUGGUACUGUCAUCGUAAUUUUAGUUGACCUUAAUUGAUGGGGUGACAUAAUCGAUUCAGCUUAUCCAAGUUCUGGUAAACUAUGCACCUUAAUGUUCCAUUUGAAAACAGAUCUUAUGUAGUGGCUUCUCUUAGAAAUGAAUCACAUACGAGACAGUAGAGAAACCACAAUUGAAAGUUACCAGUUUUCAAAAAUAUAAACAUGGAUAAUUUAAUUUCUAUUUGAUUAAAUAAUGCUUUAAAGGAUACUGUUGUGAAUCGGAUAUGCCACUUCAUAAAUAAAUGGUUACCUGAAAUGACGCCUACAGACCCUUGCAAGAAGACUCAAAGCCGACAAAAAACUUUUUGUACCUUUUUAAAAAAUGAAAUUUGUAUAAUAUAUAAUGUAAUUAA